GAAAAAGAGAGAAGAAAUUGAAAAUUAUGACAGUGGGUUUGGAGUUUCUCCUGUAAGUGAUUGGGAGCCAUUGAAGGAUUACAAGUAGUUGAAUAAAUCAAAAUAGUUUUUGAGAAGGAAGUUUCCCUGGAAGAAUGAUGCAUGAGUGUAAGUGAAUGAGAAUAACAUUUACAGGAAAUCUUAGAGUGAGAGGACAUAAUUUUCUCCUUCCAAUAUCUCCUUCUGGCUGACUAAGAUAAAAUGGAUAAAUGGGUAAGAUAUUUGGAACUUGGAUCAUAAAAUGGAGUUACAUGUUGAGAAUUGCAGUGCAUUGAGAAGCAUGGUGUCCAGGUUAUCUGCCAAUAGUCAAGCCUCUAUGCAGGCUUUUAACUGUGUAUGUUUACAUAAGCAUGAGAGACAGAUAUAUUUCUAUUUUGUUUAAAACACUCUUAUUUUUGGUUUACAAAUUGUUGUAGCUGAACUUAAUACACGGGAACAUUUUCAAAAGAGGGCUGGGCACAGUGGCUCACUCCUGUAAUUCCAGCAUUGGGAGGCAGAGUUGGGAGGAUUGUUUGAGGCCAGGAGUUUGAGGCCAACUUGGGCAACAUAGUGAAAUCCAGUCUCUGUAAAAGACUUAAAAAUUAGCUGGGCAUGGUUGCAUAUGCCUGUAGACCCAGCUACUUGGGAGGCUGAAGAAGAAGGAUCACUUGAGCCCAAGAGGUUGAGGCUGCAGUGAGCUAUUAUUUCACCACUGCAUGCCAGCCAGGGUGACAGAGUGAAAAAGUCUCAAAAAAAAAAAAAAAAAAAAAAAAAAGAAAAGAGUACACAACUUUCAUAAUUUCAUAAUUUUUCUUUCAAGAACAGCUAAUAAAAAUAUUUUGAGCUUGCUUACCAUAAACUUCACAAUCAUGUAUGGUAGAUUUGAUUUUGGGUGAUGAUCAGGGAGUGCCUACCUAGUUGGCCACUAGUUAAUUUUUGUAUAAAUACAGGGUUUGCUUGAUCAACAACUUGAAUAUUUUAUACUAAGUAUCUAAACUAAUCCUUUUAUUUUCACUGAAAACUGUUAUAUUUCC
rnacentral:lncRNA from 1 species